rnacentral:rRNA from 1 species
GACGAACGCUGGCGGCGUGCUUAACACAUGCAAGUCGAACGGAAAGGCCCUGCUUUUGUGGGGUGCUCGAGUGGCGAACGGGUGAGUAACACGUGAGUAACCUGCCCUUGACUUUGGGAUAACUUCAGGAAACUGGGGCUAAUACCGGAUAGGAGCUCCUGCUGCAUGGUGGGGGUUGGAAAGUUUCGGCGGUUGGGGAUGGACUCGCGGCUUAUCAGCUUGUUGGUGGGGUAGUUGCUUACCAAGGCUUUGAUGGGUAGCCGGACUGAGAGGGUGACCGGCCACAUUGGGAUUGAGUUGAGGCCCAGACUCCUAAGGGAGGCAGAAGUGAGGAAUAUUGCACACUGGGCGGAAGCCUGAUGCAGCAACGCCGCGUGCGGGAUGACGGCCUUCGGGUUGUAAACCGCUUUCGCCUGUGACGAAGCGUUAGUGACGGUAAUGGGUAAAGAAGCACCGGCUAACUACGUG